AUUGCCCUAGUAACGGCGAGUGAAGCGGCAACAGCUCAAAUUUGAAAUCUGGCUCUCUUUGGGGGUCCGAGUUGUAAUUUGCAGAGGAUGCUUUGGCAUUGGCGGCGGUCUAAGUUCCUUGGAACAGGACAUCACAGAGGGUGAGAAUCCCGUACGUGGUCGCCUGCCUUUGCCGUGUAAAGCUCCUUCGACGAGUCGAGUUGUUUGGGAAUGCAGCUCUAAAUGGGAGGUAAAUUUCUUCUAAAGCUAAAUACUGGCCAGAGACCGAUAGCGCACAAGUAGAGUGAUCGAAAGAUGAAAAGUACUUUGGAAAGAGAGUCAAAAAGCACGUGAAAUUGUUGAAAGGGAAGCGCUUGCAGCCAGACUUGCCCGCAGUUGCUCACCUAGGCUUUCGCCUGGGGCACUCUUCUGCGGGCAGGCCAGCAUCAGUUUGGGCGGUUGGAUAAAGGCCUCUGUCACGUAUCUCCCUUCGGGGUGACCUUAUAGGGGAGGCGCAAUGCAACCAGCCCGGACUGAGGUCCGCGCAUCUGCUAGGAUGCUGGCGUAAUGGCUGUAAGCGGCCCGUCUUGAAACACGGACCAAGGAGUCUAACAUCUAUGCGAGUGUUUGGGUGUCAAGCCCGAGCGCGCAAUGAAAGUGAACGGAGGUGGGAACCCUUUGGGUGCACCAUCGACCGAUCCUGAUGUCUUCGGAUGGAUUUGAGUAAGAGCAUAGCUGUUGGGACCCGAAAGAUGGUGAACUAUGCUUGAAUAGGGUGAAGCCAGAGGAAACUCUGGUGGAGGCUCGCAGCGGUUCUGACGUGCAAAUCGAUCGUCAAAUUUGGGCAUAGGGGCGAAAGACUAAUCGAACCAU
rnacentral:rRNA from 2 species